CCUACGGGAGGCAGCAGUGAGGAAUAUUGGUCAAUGGGCGCAAGCCUGAACCAGCCAAGUAGCGUGAAGGAUGACUGCCCUAAGGGUUGUAAACUUCUUUUGUAAAGGAAUAAAGUGAGGCACGUGUGCCUUUUUGUGUGUACUUUAUGAAUAAGGAUCGGCUAACUCCGUGCCAGCAGCCGCGGUAAUACGGAGGAUCCGAGCGUUAUCCGGAUUUAUUGGGUUUAAAGGGAGCGUAGAUGGGUUGUUAAGUCAGUUGUGAAAGUUUGGGGCUCAACCGUAAAAUUGCAAUUGAUACUGGCAGUCUUGAGUACAGGUGAGGUAGGCGGAAUUCGUGGUGUAGCGGUGAAAUGCUUAGAUAUUACGAAGAACUCCGAUUGCGAAGGCAGCCUACUAAACUGCCACUGACAUUGAUGCUCGAAAGUGUGGGUAUCAAACAGGAUUAGAUACCCCGGUAGUC
rnacentral:rRNA from 1 species